AGCUGAACCUGCCGGUGAAGGCCCCACAUCCAGGACUGAGGCUCUGGGAGAUGCUGAGGGUGUGUCUGCAGGGAGGACUUCUCAAGCUCCAGGGCUGGAUGAUUGGCCCCAACCCAGCUCCCAUGGCAGGGGUCCUCCAAAAGGAAAGAACCAAGAUACUGCAGCCAAAAAUUCUCAUGAGGCAGAUGAAUUCCUGACAGAAACACAGAAGGAAGCACCUGGAGGACAAGUGAUGGACCAAAAGGCUGUUCAGGAGGAGAAACACACAGGGAGAAUCAGCGGCUCAUUGGCAGCCCUAGCUGCAGGAAGGAAGGCGAUGGCAGACACGGGCACAGGCACAGCAGAUGCAGCCGGCACCACAAGACCUGUUCCCAAUGCCCAGGAUGGCCUCGGAAGGGGUUUCUGUUCGGGAACAGGCUGCUGGCUAGGGUUACUGGCAGGCAUGCUUUCUUUGGAGCUUGUCUUCAUGUUGUGCUGCUUUGGAAUCGGGUAUUUGGAAUCGGGAAGAGAAAACAGAGCACCCCGGGACAGGAGUUGGAAGACAGUGGCUGCACCUCACACCGACAGCGUGAGCAGCUCCUCCAGCAGCUCCUCCAGCGAGAGCAGCUCCUCCAGCAGCAGUUACAGCCUGGACUGCCCUCUCAAGUGUUGUGUGAAGAGGACCCCAGAAAAACCGUCUACGAGGAAACCUCUUUUUACCCUGUAGAUCCCACUGCCACCUGCUCUCCCCAUGGGCCUCCCCAAGCUGCCUUCAUCCCUAUUUUUAUCUCCAUCUGUCCCAUCCCAGCCAAUCCAUGUUCCUAUAAAGACCCCAGGACCAGCCCAGCCCCCUCCAGCCCCUCCUGGGACCAACACAUCCCUUCCUCUGCCCCUGAGCCCCCUGGCCUUGCCCUCUAGGCAACACUGAAGGUGACACCCCACCCCCACCACCCCCCCGCUUGCAGGUUAGGCAAUGGCCCAUUCCUCUGUUGAAAUAAAGAGAUGGAUUUGUGUCCUGGUUUGAAAGCAAAA